GAUAUCUGAUUGCGGGAAACUGAAAUUGGAGACUUCAGUUGGUGCUGGACUGACAUUGGAAAGUUGUGAGUCGAUCCCAUGGGGACGCUAUUUGUGUGUAAUGGGUUGUCAAAACCUUACUAGUUUUUUUAUUCCUAAUGGGACUGAAAAACUCGAUAUUGUACGUUGUAAGAAUCUUGAAAUACUUUCGGUGGCAUGUGGGACCCAGAUGACGUUAUUGUGUAUUUUCAAUUGCGAAAAGCUGAAGCGGCUGCCAGAACGUAUGCAGGAACUCCUUCCCUCUCUUAAGGAACUGAGUCUGUCUGGUUGUCCAGAAAUAGAGUCCUUUCCUGAUGGAGGAUUGCCCUUCAAUUUACAAGUCCUUCAGAUCAGAAAUUGCGAGAAACUUGAGAAUGGCCGAAAAGAGUGGCGUUUACAGAGACUUCCCUCUCUCAGACAGUUGGAGAUCUACUUCAAUGGCAGUGACGAAGAGAUUGUUGGUGGUGAGAUUUGGGAGUUGCCUUGCUCUAUUCGAAGUCUUACCAUAGAAAAUCUGAAAACAUUGAGCAGCCAAGUUCUCAAUAGCCUCACCUCUCUUGAAUCUCUAGAGUACCUAUGUUUAUGGAACCAUCAUGAGCUCUAUUCACUACCAACUGAAGGGCUUCGGCACCUCACUUCGCUUCAAAUUCUACACAUCAGCAAUUGCCAUAAACUCCAAUCUCUUGCAGAAUCAGGGUUUCCCUCCUCCCUCUCUGAGCUGAUCAUCGACCAUUGCCCUAAUCUCCAUUCCCUUCCAGUAAAAUGGCUGCCCUCUUCCCUCUUUACACUAUCUAUUUACAGAUGCCCAUUGCUCGAACCACUACUAGAAUUUGACAAGGGGGAGUACUCGCCAGAAAUUGCUCAUAUUCCUCAAAUAUAUAUCGGUGCUACAAUAGUUGACGACCCCGAAUAUAUUGACGACCCCGAAUGCCUGUGAUGAUUAAUAUAAACAAGCUCCCAUAGAUGAAAGUUUUUCUCUUUCCUCAGUAGCUUUUUAGUUUUGCUUAUUAAUUCCCCUUUCUUGUGUGUUAAUUAUUUUCCUUUGUUAAGCUAUUGUGUAAAAGUUUUGUUAUAAUUUGGUUAUUAUUUAUGGAAAACACUCAAAUAUGUCAUUACACUAUAAGAAGUGACUCAUUUAUGCAUUAGUUAAAAGUUCGGCUUAUUUGUGUCAUUGUCGUUACAAAAUCAGCUCAUUUAUGCCAUUACUUUUUAAUGGUGGGUUUUCAAAAAUAAUUUUGUCAUGUGGCUUUUUAUUAGUAGUCCACGUCAUUAAUUAAAAUAAAUCUAUAUUAAUUUUAAAAUGUCUGCAUUAGUUAGUAUCGGGAUUAUUUGUCCCACUAUUUAUACCAUAGUGAUGGAAUAAGUUAUCCCAUAUAAAUGGCGUAAUAAUUGGGAUAACGGACUUCUUUUAAGCCUUAUUUAGAAAUGAGUUUUCAACAAUGUAUGCUCCCCUAAUUCGUGAUGGGAGAAAAGGGAAGUUCUAUUGGUAUGUCUCCUUCUUUUUCUUGCUUACCUUAAUCGUUCAUUGACUUCUUUUCUUGCAACUUUGGAGUAUAUAUUGGAGUCACUGGAAUUACAACUAAUCAGUUACUCUACGAUAAAAAAAAAGUUAGUGUAGGAUAGAAAUUUUGAGGCUUCUGUUAACCGUAACAUUUAUAAUGAUUUAAAAUCAACAAGAAACAAUCAAAGGAUAUACACUAAUCACUAUUUUUUCUAAUCAGAAAAAUAAUUGUUGUUGUAGAAAAAAAAAUACUUCGGGUUAUGUUAAAUGGAUCAAUUCUUUUUAAUGGGUCUAAGAUAUUUUGAAAUUAAUAUUGAUUUAUUUUAAUUAAUGACAUGUACCUCUAAUACAAGGUCACGUGGCAAAGCUAUUUUUGAAAACCCACCUUUAAAAAGUAAUUGCAUGGAUGAGCUGGUUUUAUAACGGUAAUGGCACAAAUGAGCUGAACUUUUAACUGAUAGCAUAAAUGAGCCAUUUUUGAUAGUUCAAUGACAUCUUUGAGCCUUUCUCCUUAAUUUUUUUGGUUCAUUUAAUUAAUGAUGUGGACGAAUUAUUGUUGACCAUGUGUACAAAAUGGUUUUGCCAAAAACCACCAAACUAGAUAAAAAAAAUGGCAUGAAUGAGCCUUUUUUGGGAACGGCAAUGACAUAAAUGACCCAACCUUUAAACGGAUGACAUAAAUGAGCCUUUUCUCAAAGUUCAAUAGCAUAUUUGAGCCUAACAAUCAUCGGUCAUCACAUAUAAAUGUGUUUAGAUGACUUAUUUUACGAGUUACUACUUUUGGUCCUUUUCUUCUUCCUUUCUUCCUAUGUUCCUCUUUCUUUCCAAAAUACAUUUAGAAUGACAGAUAUUAAUAUAAUUUAUGUAAAUAAUAUUGAGAAUAUAAACUUAUUUCUCACGUAAACAUGUAACCUAUGAAAGUUGUACAUUGAUCACCUUAUUAGUAUAACAUUGCUCUAGACAGAAUACUUACACCAUGCAUGCAUAUUCUUUUAUUUUGAAGUAAAUUAUAAACUUAUUUUUCACGUACAUUUCACCUUUAAUUGUGACCCAAUGAAAAGCCACUAAAAGAAAUUAAAACUCAAUAUAUAAUCACUUCACAGACGACCAUCCAAUAUUUUUGGAAUGGAGUACUUUUCUUCGUUAGGAAUUGGCAGUGAUACGGCUUUCUUUCAUGAAUGGCAGCGUCCCAUUUAUGUAUUUUACAUUUGUCUCUUCGCUUCAUUGCAGUAGCAAUUCUUGUAUUCUUGGCUUACUUGAGAUGAAGCAUGAGUUGCUGCAAAUGGAACAUACAACUCCAACUAAGAGGUACAUAGAAAAAGGCUAUUAUAAAUAUAUUACAUUUUCAUUGUCAGGAUUUGGACAAAGCACUCAAAAUUAUCUGGGAAGGGGAAAUCUGUUGAACAUCAAAACUAGGGAGGGGAAAGGCGCAAUGAAGGGUAUCCUUAAGGUUAGAUAACAAAAAAGGAUUUACUCAUGUUUUAGUUACCAAGAUGCUUAUAUUUGUGGUGGUAGCAGUUUAUUUUACUUCUUCUAGUUUUAGCGGAUGCAUAUAACCUGUUCAAAAUAUGAUGCAGUCUUACUUAACGCGUCUAUUGCAGUCCAAUGUCUCGAUAUCGUGGCAGUUAAUUUUGAGGAUUUCAUCCUUGUUUGUCAUUGUAGGAGCUGUUCCAUCUUGUCUUCGUUGUCUUAAAGUCUGUCAAUUCUUGGAAUCACAAGGAAGAACUUGAAUGGUUAGAAACCGCGCAAAUCAAAAAUGCGGAUGAAGAUUUCCAAACACAUCUGUCUAGUUUGCCUUCCUUGAGAUGAAGCAUGCCUUGCUGCACAUGUAACAUACAGCUCCAAUGGAACCCAAAAUUACAUGAGAAUAAAAGUUGUUUGAUGUAACACACAAAAGAACAUGCUGUAUAUUGUGGCUAUAAAUUAUAAGGAAAGAUAUUGCUUUUUCAUUGUUAGGAUUUUGACAAGGCUCAGCGAUUAUUUGGGAAGUGAAAAGUUUUGAAGGGCAAGUUGUUGAAGCUUUAAGUGGUAUUUUAUUCUCAUGUUGGAUGGAACAUCAGGACUAUGGAUGUGAUGAUAGCUUGUAUUGUUGGCUUUUGGUUUUGGAUGAGAGACAAGAAUCGAAGGCUCGCUUCUUUAUGCACCAACAAUCAACAUCUCUCAUGUGUUUUGCCAAUGUGGUAUUUGACUAGAAUGUGACAGUGAUGUUCUUUUUACGCUGGAUACAUCUUAGCCAACAGAAAGCAAAAGACAACAUGAUUAUUGGAUUUCCAGUAUUGAGAAAUCUGAAUGUGGGUUAUUUCAAGCUUAUGCUCCAGCAUUGUUAAACUUAACUAGUAUAUGUGCCCGCGCAAUGCACGGAUAAUAUUAAAAAAUUAUAAUCUUCUUUAUUUGAUCAUAUUGAAUUCCUAUUAUUUUUAGUUUAGAGGUCACAACUUAUCUUUAGUAUAACAAUAUAACCUUCGAACUCAAAUUCAACAUAACUUGUCGUCUUCUUUAGAUAGAUUUAGAAGGGGAGCCUUGGAGUAACUGGUAAAGUUGCUGCCAUGUGACCAGGAGGUCACAGGUUCAAGCUUUGGAAACAGCCUCUGGCAGAAAUGCAAGGUAAGGCUGCGUACGAUACAUCCGUCGGGACAUCAACUGUCUCACCAUUCCACUGUACAGUAAAAGCAUGAACAUUUUCAUCCCAGUUUGACACUUUCUUUGCUCCUAGAAUUAAUGUAUGGAUGUAAAACAUGCCUGAAAAUGUUUGAACCCAUGUAAAGUCGCACUUCCUUCCCUGUGGUUGUGUACCAAUUAGAUGUGCAUUAAUGGGGAGGUUGUCAGCUGAGAAAAUAGCAAAGUCAGUUUCCUUUGCUCCAUGGAAGUACAACAUCACGCCGUCACCACCCACAAAUCUGGGAUCGUAGCAUAGAGCGCCAUAACCAUCAUACCUAGCUUGUAGCCUUUGAACUUCCUGCUAUUUUCCGAUACUUGAUUCAUAUGCAAUUGAAAGUUUCUUAAAUUGGCGCAUCUUUCCUAGAUCUUUAAUCUUUUGUUAGAGAGAACAUGUACGCGAUCUCAAAAACAGGUUUCCAGUAGUAUUGCUUUCACAUAUACCUAGUGUAGUGAACUUCCUAAGUGUUGUGUCCCUAUAUUUUGACUUCAAUAUACAACCUGCUGCGCCAUCGAAGGCUUUAACUAUUUACUGCCAAAUUAUAUGCGGUGAAAAAAUUAAGAUAGAAUUUCCGCUUAAGCUGACAAUCAUGAUAUAUAAGAUCGAAUUUGAAAGCAACAGUAAAUCAAACAUACAAAAAGACAAAUGCGAGCUCCCUGUUUCGAGAAUUGAGAAUAAAACAAAAAUUCAAGGAUCUUACAAAAAACUUCAUCGCUCUGCUGUUACUCAGGCUUAGGGCAUCUUAGAUAAGUCCUCCGCUUGAUUCUCCAUUAGUCCAGAUGAAAGUGAAAGAAUGUAACUCACACUGAUAUAGAUAUACACAGUGACAGAAGUUUGAAGGACGCAUUUAAUACACAUUGACACAUGCAUGCAUAUUGGGUACUUAAAAGUAAAGUACUUAAAAUUAAAGGAAUUGCAUAAAUUGCAAUUAAAACUGGAUUAUGAAAAAGUACAAAUCCGAUAAUGGAUAAUUUUACCAAAUCGACUAAAGGCAUCUUCGAGCUGAUAAAUCUACAACAUCCCAUGAUAAACCUAUGUGACUUUUCCAUUUUCUUUCAUCACAAAAAUUCAGAAUUGAUCUUAUCAUAUACAGAGAAUUCAUAUUGAAACCCAACAUAACCACCAAUUUUAAGCUUUAUAUAUAAGACCGCAAAAAUCACAUACUCAAAUCAACAGCAAAAGACACUAUAGAGAAAAUCUUUAAAGCAAGAUAACAGUAGAUGAGAAAGAAAUGGACCUUCCAAUCAUAAUUUGUAAGUCUUGAAGACCAGGGGACUCAACGCAUCUACUGGUACCUGGAAAAUGGACUAAAAAACUCAAACAGAAUCUUAACUCUUGCACCAAAACACAUUUGCAACAUUUAAUCAUUUAUUCAAUAUCAAAUGGGUGUUUGUCGAUUUGAUUCGGCGAAGCUCGAGAUGCUUAUGGAUGGAGAUCUGGUGGUUCUCAAUGGUUGCGGGUGAACUCUAUUGAAAUGAAACUGGAAAUGAAUGGUGGUACUCGACGGUGAUUCAUUUCUUAUUAUAACAAUUUAUGUCAUGGUUACUAUAUUAUUUUUUCGACCAUAAAGUUUGUCAAUGGAAAAAAUUGCAAUCUUGAAAAAUAAUUUUCAAAAAUUCAAGUAAUACCUCAAUUAAUCACCAUAUGGACCUGCAAGAAUAAUAGUAUAGCCAUCAAGAUCAGCAGCAUUGCAACAGAGAUCACAAAGGUCAUCAAGUAAUACCUCAAUUAAUCACCAUAUGGACCUGCAAAAAUAAUAGUAUAGCCAUCAAAAUCAGCAGCAUUGCAACAGAGAUCACAAGGGUCAUCAAGAAACUGAGCUUCAUGAAUUUCACUCACAUCCAACUAUCAAGAAAUAAAGUUACUUGAGGAUAAAGAUACACACACAACAUUGCUAAAGAUAAGUUGCAGAGAACACUGCACAAUUCAUUUCACGCAAUAAGAAGUUUUUUUCAGACUAAUGUUUACUAAAUCUUAAAACACCAAACAAAAAUUCGACGUUCAAUCUUCCUCAUGUCAGAUCUCUCAUUAUCUUCUAUAUCUGCAACAUUUAGCCAUGAAAUUUGUGCGCUCUAGACAAUUCACAUAUAUCAUUGACCUGCAGAUGCAGUAUAUAAAAAAAUAUAUUUAUAGCAGUAGUGUGUAGUAUGUGUUGUUCAGGAGAUAUAAAGAAAAUUAACUAACUUAUCAACAUAAGAUUUUUUUUCUUACAUAAAAUUAAAUAGAAUGAAUAAACAUAAAAAUCUUCCUAUACCAAGUUAAAGAUGUCAAAAGAUGAAAAGUACCCUAUCCUAUAAAUGAAGUGAGUGGCAAUACCUAAGUGAAAUGUAUGUGAAAAUUCAGUAGUGCCACACAUUUUGCUAGACUCUCCACCCUGAAAUUGAAAAAAUGAAAAUGCAAAUUAAACUUAUAAAAGAAAACAUUUAAGCACCGAUUUUGAGGUUUCCAAAUAGGAGCAUGAAGCAGGAAGAGAAGAAACCCAUGAGAAAUUUUAGGAUGAAUCGUCACAAAAUUAUGAUUAGUUCCCGAUAAGGCUUAGGACAUGUAGAUCUGCAAACAUUUGAAAAAUUAACAAUCGGUCUGCUAACAACGUCUAACCGAAAAAGGCAGCCUGGUGCACUAAAGCUCCUGCUAUUUACAUGGUCAGGGGAAGGGCUCCACCACAAGGGUGUAAUGUACGCAGCCUUCAAUUAUGCUUAGUUCCCAUAAGGCUCAGGACAUGCAGAUCUACAAACAUUUUAGAAAUUAACAAUCGGUCUGCCUACAACAUCUAACCGAAAAAGGGCAGCCCGGUGAACUAAAGCUCCCACUAUUCGGAUGGUCAGGGGAAGGGCCCCACCACAAGGGUGUAAUGUACAUAGCCUUCAAUUAUGCUUAGUUCCCGAUAAGGCUCAGGACAUGCAGAUCUGCCAACAUUUCAGAAAUUAACAAUCAGUCUGCCAACAACAUCUAACCGGAAAAAAAAAGCAGUCCGGUGCGCUAAAGCUCGCGCUAUUCGCAUGGUCAGGGGAAGGGCCCCACCACAAGGGUGUAAUGUACGUAGCCUUCAAUUAUGCUUAGUUCCCGAUAAGGCUCAGGACAUGCAGAUCUGCAAACGUUUCAGGAAUUAAAAAUCGGUCUGCCAACAACAUCUAACCGGAAAAAAAAAGCAGUCCGGUGCACUAAAACUCCAGCUAUUCGCAUGGUUAGGGGAAGGGCCCCACCACAAGGGUGUAAUGUACGUAGCCUUCAAUUAUGCUUAGUUCUCGAUAAGGCUCAGGACAUGCAGAUCUGCAAACAUUUCAGAAAUUAAAAAUCGGUCUGCCAACAACAUCUAACCGGAAAAAAAAAGCAGUCCGGUGCACUAAAACGCCCGCUAUUCGCAUGGUCAGGGGAAGGGCCCCACCACAUGGGUGUAAUGUACGCAACCUUCUCUAGCAUUUCUGUCAAAGUAUAUUUCAAAGGCUUAAACCUGUGACCUUCCGGUCACAUGACAACUACUUUAAAAAAAAAAUCAAUGUACUGAUAAACAAAGAAACCCCAAAUGCAAAAUUUGACAGAGCAAGACCACAUUAUUCCCAACAAUUAACGAAUAAGAUAUGCAAACAUAAUCAAAAUAAAAGGUAUACAAAAUUACCAAUUAAACUGUCAAAAGUUGUUCAGUAAAUAAUUUCGAUAAAAUAAAAGAGAUAGCGAAAUAUGUACCAGAAGAUUAAACUCGGUGUGUCUUGCCUUUGCGAAUCGCCAAACACACCCUUAAUGGUUCUUAUAGAACUAUCAAGUUUGAUACUACCUUCUCUAUCCAACAUUCGAGAUUUCUCCAAGUAGUUAAAUUUUUCUUAAUCAAAUCGUCAUUUAUGCAUAAAAUCUACCCUUUCCAAACCCCACUUGAUGAAAUUAUAAUGGAUAUGUUGUUGUUGUUGUUGACUGCAAAAGUUCAAAGUUGCAUUUUGGAAGUUUCUUAUGUUUAACACCGGAUAAUGUACAAAUAAAAGAAAGCUAAGAACCAACAAAUACACAAUCGUCCAUAAUCGAACACUUAUUAUGAAUCACAUGAGAAUAGUUAAUAUUUAACAUAUGAAGUGGCCAAUAAACAACUACUUAAUGUAGUUAAAAUACAAUUAAGAAAUCGAUAAGACUUGAAGCAAAAUUAUGAAAAAAUCAGAAUCUAAAUUACUUGAUAGAGAAUUUAGAUAAAAAACAAUAAAUCAAGACAUAUGAAACUUGAUCUCUUUGUAGCAGAAUUUCAUACCACCUAAAAUAAGAUUGUACUCUUUGGGAUCUUUUUCUUAAGACAUUAUAAAAAAAUUGAGUAAAAAAAAAACGUUUGUAUGAAAAAGCACCAGAGACAUAUCUAAACACAAACAAAGGAAGACUACCAAAAACACUUUGAGAUGUAAACAAGAUUCAGCUCAGAUCCAAAGAAAUAGAAUUCGAUAUUCUAUCAUUUCGUUGUCUUUUCUUUCAUAUUCGAUUUCUAAAAGAUGCGAAAUAGCUUUUUAGCAGCUAUAACACGAGUUGAAAAACGUACCCACUCAAAAUCAAAACAAAAAAAUGAAAUAAAAAAAAAUCAACUGCUCCAAUUUCAUCUCUAUCGAUUCUGACUUCGUAGAGCCGGUGCUGCUGUUGCCUGCGCGUAGGGGCGUCCCCCACUCCCGUCCGGGGGCGCUAAGGGGCUUUUGUUUUUGGAACAGACGGGCAGUGUUUUGCUGUGAAAGUUACUGAAUGAAUCUAUUUCAUUCUAAUUCGAUCUAAGAAGUUAGCUGUAGGAAGGACUUCGGUUCGCCAGUUCAGGCUCAACUCCUCGCUUUACGUUAGCGGAAUAGAAGGGAAAAAGUCUUUGAUUAUGACUGGCGGGAUAUAAAUAGAAUGAUAAGGCAUUUCUCAAGCUUGAAUCCCUAGAAAGCAAAACUGCAGUUCGUAAGUACCAUUCACUUGUACAUAUUUGUUCUUUGCCUCAGACAUCAUCUUAUCUAAUUUGUAGUUAAUUUAAAAAAUCCAUUUGAUAAGGGUUUGGUUUAAUUAAUCAAGGUCUUCGUUAUUUGAAAUCUUCAAAUCAAACAAAUACUCUUGAAGUCUUUGGGGAUGAGGCAUCUUCACUACCUCUUCUCUAUUGCUCAGUGGAAUUGAUUAAAUCUACAGAAUCCAAAGAAAACAAAGAAUGGAAUCAAAUUUGAACGGUAUGAAAAAAAGAAGGAAAAAUAUUUAACAAUAUAAUACUGCAAAUUUGAUCAUUUCUUAUCACUGAAAGCAAUCAAUACAGAGAAAAGAAGAGAAUUAGGAACAUCAAAAAUCCAUUUCUUACAUCACAAUCUAGCCACUAAUUGUGAGUCGUCAUUGAAAUUCGAGUAAACCACUUUCCACUAAGAACUUGAUCUGGUUGAAUCUGGAAGUAUCAGAAGCCGAACAGCGAUUUGGGUAGUAUGGUGCAUAUAGAGACAUCUUUUUUGUGGAGAACAUUAAAGUGGAAAAGGAAGUUAAAUAGAGUUAUUUUUGAAGUUGCUAACUUGUCAAUUUUAAAAAUUUGAAGUGAAUAUACGUUAUUAAAACUGCCAAAAAAAAUUUACCACACAUUUAUUUUCUGAUAUUUUUGGUUAAAAUAAAAAAAUUAUAUUUUGAAAGAGGUUUAAUGUUUUAAUAUCUCUCUUUGUAUAAUCUUAUUAGAUAGAUUAUUAAAUAUUAAAUUUUGUCUUAUAAAGACCAAAAUCUAAAAGGGAUUAUCGAGAUAAAAAAUUAUAAAAAUAAAAAAAUAAAUGGGAGUUUCUUAACUAAAUAAUAUUUGUAUCAAAGUAAUUUAAGUAUAGUUAUCUAUUUUAAAAACUAUAAUAUUAGUUAACUAAUUAUCAAAAAUUUGAGUUUUCAAAUAAAAUUUAAAAAGUAAAAUUCAAAAAUGCACAACUAAUAACUAAUUUAACUAUUUGUUGUCCUAAAACACCACAUGGUAAUUUAUCAUGCUGCCACGUGGCUUUAUAUGGAGGCUUUGUCCUCUCUUAUUAAUAAUAUAUAGAUAAAUAGUAUAGGAUGACAAAAAAAGACAGUCCGAUGCACUAAAGCUACAACAACAACAGCAUAUCCGGCGUAAUCCACGAGAAUAUGUACACAUACCUUAACUCAGCCUUGUUCAGCUAUAAAGGUUAUUUCCAAUAGAUCCUUAGCUCGAGGAAAGCAUAAUCACAGCAUUUUAUGAAAACACAAUCAUUAACAACAUCAGGAUAGUAAGAUAACCAAAGCGAGAAAUAUGAAAAUAAUAAAAAAAAUCAGUUUUUUUUUUUUUUGUUUUAUUAUACACGAGCUCCAAAGCCAAUAUAUAUUUGAUCCCUCAAAAAUGGCACCUAUUGACCAAACAAGCAGCUUAGACAUAAGGACCACUUUAGCAUUUAACACCAAACCCACCAACUCAAAAAUGAAAUUUGAAAAUCAAAAGGUGCUUCGGGACCUACAAAGUAUUAAUUCUUACAUACAAAGAGGCAAAAAUCAUGUAUUAAAGUAAGAUGACUCACUAAUCACUCUUGUUUGCACUUUACUCUUUUCAACAUUUUAUCUUCUCAAAAACUCUUAAAAUCAUUUUUUGUUUGUAGAUUUCAGAAAUGGAGAUUGGCUUAGCAGUUGGUGGUGCAUUUCUCUCUUCAGCUUUGAAUGUUCUCUUUGAUAGGCUUGCUCCUCAUGGUGAUCUUCUCAGGAUGUUUCAGAAGAAUAAGCAUGAUGUUCGACUCUUAAAGAAGCUGAAAAUGACUUUGUUUGGCCUUCAGGCUGUGUUAAGUGACGCAGAGAAUAAGCAGGUAUCAAAUCAACACGUGAGCCAGUGGCUUAAUGAACUUCGAGAUGCUGUGGACGGCGCUGAAAACUUAAUGGAACAAGUCGACUAUGAGGCUUUAAGGCUUAAGGUGGAAGGUCAACUUCGAAAUCUUGCAGAAACAAGCAACCAGCAAGUAAGUGACCUCAACCUGAGCUUGAGUGAUGAUUAUUUUCUUAACUUAAAGGAGAAGUUGGAAGACACCAUUGAAACAUUGGAGGAUUUGCAAAAACAAAUUGGUCUCCUUGGCUUAAAGGAGCAUUUUGCUUCGACUAAACGAGAAACUAGAAGACAUUCAACUUCUUUGGUUGAUGAAUCUGAUGUCUUUGGUCGGCAGAAUGAAAUAGAGGAAUUGAUUGACCGUUUAUUGUCCAAGGAUGCAAGUGAAAAAAGUCCGACUGUUGUCCCCAUUGUUGGAAUGGGGGGUGUGGGCAAGACGACACUAGCUAAAGCUGCUUACAAUGAUGAGAAGGUAAAAAGCUAUUUUAAUUUGAAAGUUUGGUUUUGUGUGUCAGAGCCAUAUGAUGCUAUCAGAAUAACAAAAGGGUUACUUCAAGGAAUUGGCUCAUUUGACUUAAAGGAUGACAAUAAUCUCAAUCAGCUACAAGUCAAAUUGAAGGAAAGCCUUAAUGGAAAAAGGUUUCUCAUUGUCCUUGAUGACAUGUGGAACGCUGACUAUAAUGAGUGGAAUGACUUGAGAACUCCUUUUGUACAAGGAGAUAUGGGAAGUAAGAUCAUUGUAACUACACGUAAGAAGGAUGUUGCCGGGAUGAUGGGUAGUGGGGCAGUCAACGUGGGGACUCUGUCUAGUGAAGCCUCUUGGGCUUUAUUCAAACGACAUUCUCUAGAAAAUAGGGAUCCUGAGGAACAUCUAGAACUUGAAGAGGUUGGAAAGCAAAUUUCAGACAAGUGCAAAGGAUUGCCUUUAGCUCUAAAGGCACUUGCUGGUAUUUUACGCUCCAAAUCAGAUGUGGGUGAGUGGACAGACGUUUUAAGAAGUGAAAUAUGGGAGCUGCCACAUUGUCCGAAUGGUAUAUUACCAGCAUUGAUUUUGAGCUACAAUGAUCUUCGUGCACAUUUGAAGCAAUGUUUUGCUUUUUGUGCUAUAUAUCCUAAAGAUUAUCAAUUUUGCAAAGAGCAAGUUAUUUUCUUGUGGAUUGCUAAUGGUCUUGUACAGCAGUUGCAUUCUGGUAACCAAUACUUUAACGAGUUGAGAUCAAGAUCAUUGUUCGAAAGGGUCCCAGAGUCUUCUGAAAGAGAUGGAGGGAAAUUCUUAAUGCAUGAUCUUGUCAAUGAUUUGGCCCAAAUUGCAUCUUCAAAACUUUGUGUCAGGUUGGAAGAGUGCCAAGGACCUCAUAUGUUGGAACAAAGUCGGCAUAUGUCGUAUGCAAUGGGGAAAGGUGGUGAAUUUGAGAAAUUGAAACCGCUCUCUAAGUCAGAGCAGCUAAGAACAUUGCUUCCAAUCUCUAUUCAGUACCUUUACCGCCCUAAGCUAAGCAAGAGGGUGCUGCAUAACAUACUGCCAAGGCUAACAUCUUUAAGGGCAUUAUCAUUGUCAUGUUAUGCGAUUAUAGAGCUGCCAAAUGACUUGUUUAUCAAAUUAAAGCUCCUCAGAUUUUUGGACAUUUCUGAAACAGAGAUUAUAAAAUUGCCGGAUUCUAUCUGUGUACUGUAUAACUUAGAGACGCUUCUCCUGUCAUCUUGUAAAUAUCUUGAGGAGCUACCACUGCAGAUGGAAAAGCUAAUCAAUUUGCGGCACCUUGACAUAAGCAACACUUCUCUCUUGAAAAUGCCGCUACAUCUGAGCAAGUUGAAAAGCCUUCAAGUGCUAGUGGGAGCCAAGUUUCUUCUAGGUGGCCCCUGUGGUUGGAGAAUGGAAGAUUUGGGUGAAGCACAUUACUUGUAUGGAUCUCUAUCAAUUUUAGAAUUGCAAAAUGUGGUUGAUAGAAGGGAAGCUCUGAAGGCAAAGAUGAGGGAGAAGAAUCAUGUUGAAAAGUUAUCGUUGAAGUGGAGUGAAAGUGAUGCGGACAAUUCACAAACUGAAAGAGACAUACUUGAUGAGCUACGCCCACACUCAAGUAUAAAAGAACUCCAAAUCUCUGGAUAUAGAGGGACACAAUUUCCAAAUUGGCUAGCUGAUCCUUUGUUUCUUAAGCUGCUAGUACAAUUGUCUCUUAGCAACUGCAAGGACUGUUUUUCCUUGCCAGCACUAGGACAACUUCCUUGUUUGAAAUUCCUUUCCAUUAGAGAGAUGCAUCGAAUAACAGAGGUGACGGAAGAAUUCUAUGGUAGUCCUCCCUCCAAAAAGCCUUUCAACUCUCUUGAGGAGCUUGAAUUUGCAGAGAUGCCUGAGUGGAAGCAGUGGCACGUACUAGGGAGCGGAGAGUUUCCUGCACUUCAGAGCCUUUCCAUUGAAGAUUGCCCCAAGUUGAUGGGGAAGUUGCCUGAAAAUCUUUGUUCUCUGACAAAAUUGAGAAUUUCAAGAUGUCCUGAACUCAAUUUGGAGACACCCAUCCAACUUUCAAGUCUAAAAAAGUUUGAAGUUGAUGGUUCUCUUAAGGCUGGAGUUAUUUUUGAUGAAGCUGAACAGUUUACAUCCCAACUUGAGGGAAUGAGGCAGAUUGAUGAAUUAUCUAUUAGUGAUUGCAACUCUCUUACCUCCUUGCCUACUAGCACUCUGCCGAGUACAUUGAAGAAAAUAAGGAUAUCUGAUUGCGGGAAACUGAAAUUGGAGACUUCAGUUGGUGAUAGACUGACAUUGGAAAGUUGUGAGUCGAUCCCAUGGGGACGCUAUUUGUAUGUAAAUAGUUGUCAAAACCUUACUAGUUUUUUUAUUCCUAAUGGGACUGAAAGACUCGAGAUUAGUUGUUGUGAGAAUCUUGAAAUACUUUCAGUGGCACGGGGGACCCAGAUGACGUCAUU
rnacentral:lncRNA from 1 species